UUUGUUCGCUCUCCCUCAAGUUCUUCUAGUUAAUUACAUAGAGAAUUAUCUAGCUAUAUGACCAUUAUAGAAGCCCUUGAGGGAGAGUGAGCAA